AUUGCACCAAACUGGGGCCAAUGGGGACACAGGGAAGGGAGAACUUUCUAGGGAAGGUAAAAAGGGGAGGGACAGCCCACAGGCCAACUGGGUACAGAAACUGGGGUACAACAAAGUGGAGGUGCAAAGCACUGUGGGAAAAGCCCUUCUUAUUAACUUUAAAACGGGGGAAAACCUUACAGCCAGGAGGCUCCUUCCACACCCUGAUAGCUUUUGGCUCUGGAGCCUCCACACACAGAUGUCUCCCCUCUGCUGCAAAAUUAGCUUAAUUGGAGAGCACUGAGUGCCAUCAGCUGCUGCUGCAGGUGCUGCAUCCCUAAACCCUCCAGAGGGCCUAAAAGCAGCAGCUGCUCGUGCUCAGGGGUGAGGCAGCGUUGUCUGGAGUCAGGAUGUGUGUGACCCACAGCUCCUGGGCUGGUUCUGUCCUGCUGGUGACUUCUGUGAGAGCUGGAAUGUGGGGAGGAGUAGUGUCAAGGAGUUUUAUUCUGCUUUAGUUAUAAAUGUAACUUUGAGUGCUAUGGCCCAGAUUUUCCAGAGCUCGCUCCCCACAAGUGCUUUGCCUCUAGCAGGGAUAAAUUGGGGUUUGAUUAUGCAAAGUGGGAUAUUCUGGGGAAGGGAAAAAUAGUUUUCUAUCUAGUGCGGCAUUUAUCUGUAACCUGAGUUCAGACUGAGGGCAAGCUCAGGGAAGCUGAGCCUGGAAAGGCCCAGUUUUGGCCUCUGCAGCUUUCCAGGGGCUGUGCUGUGCCAAAGCCGAGUGCUCUGAGCGUGGCACUAAUUUGGCCCUGCAGUCAGCAGGCUGGUUCUUGCUCUGCUGGAUGUGGUUUGGCAGGGACUGGAUUCAUUGGUGGUUUCAUCCCUACUAAACCAGGUGGUUUGAGGUUUUCAGGAGAGCAAGUGCUGUGUUUGGGGCUGUAAAUAAUGGCUCAGCAUCUCCGACACCCGCUGCAGUCACACGGCACCGCGAGGGGAGCUGACGGCUGCUGGAUUGAGCUCGCUCGUACUCAGCUCCCUUUCCUUCUCCACGGCUGGAGAAGUGUGUGUGUACCCUGGGAGAGGCUUGGGAGCUGCUGUCUUUCCUCAGACAGUCUUUCCCACGUGGCCUGUAGCCAGCUGUUGGCAGCGAUGGCCAAGUCCUUGCUCUUCUGCAGGUGGUGUAUUGUGAAGGAGAGAGUGGGUAAGGAAUGCAAAUCAAAACCAAACCAUGCGCUUUGCCAUCUUCUUUGUUGUUUUUUUUUUUCCCUUUAA
rnacentral:lncRNA from 1 species